CCCUUAGAUGUUCUGGGCCGCACGCGCGCUACACUGAUGCACUCAACGAGUCUCACCUUGACCGAAAGGUCCGGGAAAUCUUCGAACUUGCAUCGUGAUGGGGAUAGAUUAUUGCAAUUAUUAAUCUUCAACGAGGAAUGCCUAGUAAGCGCAAGUCAUCAGCUUGCGUUGAUUACGUCCCUGCCCUUUGUACACACCGCCCGUCGCUCCUACCGAUUGAAUGGUCCGGUGAAGCGUUCGGACCGUGGCCUUUGGACGGUUCGCCGUCUGUUGGCUGCGGGAAGUUCGUUAAACCUUAUCAUUUAGAGGAAGGAGAAGUCGUAACA
rnacentral:rRNA from 1 species